rnacentral:rRNA from 1 species
ACUCCUACGGGAGGCAGCAGUGGGGAAUAUUGCACAAUGGGCGAAAGCCUGAUGCAGCAACGCCGCGUGAGGGACGACGGCCUUCGGGUUGUAAACCUCUUUUAGUAGGGAAGAAGCGAAGUGUUUUACACGGAGUGGCGGUACCUGCAGAAAAAGCACCGGCUAACUACGUGCCAGCAGCCGCGGUAAUACGUAGGGUGCAAGCGUUAUCCGGAAUUAUUGGGCGUAAAGAGCUCGUAGGCGGUUUGUCACGUCUGCUGUGAAAACUGGAGGCUCAACCUCCAGCCUGCAGUGGGUACGGGCAGACUAGAGUGCGGUAGGGGAGAUUGGAAUUCCUGGUGUAGCGGUGGAAUGCGCAGAUAUCAGGAGGAACACCAAUGGCGAAGGCAGAUCUCUGGGCCGUAACUGACGCUGAGGAGCGAAAGCAUGGGGAGCGAACAGGAUUAGAUACCCUGGUAGUCCAUGCCGUAAACGUUGGGAACUAGAUGUAGGGACCAUUCCACGGUUUCUGUGUCGCAGCUAACGCAUUAAGUUCCCCGCCUGGGGAGUACGGCCGCAAGGCUAAAACUCAAAGGAAUUGACGGGGGCCCGCACAAGCGGCGGAGCAUGCGGAUUAAUUCGAUGCAACGCGAAGAACCUUACCAAGGCUUGACAUAUACCGGAAAAGUUCAGAA